AGAAAGGAUCUGUCUCAAAAUAGAAACAAUGAAAGAAAACCACUGGAUGGAAAUCUCUCCCAGGCCAGCACCCUGUGAACCCUGAAGAUAACCCAGACACGUCAUGCCCAGCCUGCAAGUGAUUGUCCUGGCACCACGCACAGCAAGUGCUACACAGGGGUCAGAUUCGGGCCACCCUUUCCUCAGUGCUCAGUGGUCCUGGCUGCCACUCAGGAAGCUCUGUUCCCAGGGAGCAGGUCUGAGAAGCAGUGGUGAAGUUCCCUGAGAUACUGUCAUUGCUCAGCCAGCAACAGCAGCACAGGAUUAGAGCACAGCCAGCCAGCGGUAAAUUGCUAGAAUGAGGCAUUGUAACAUUUUUGCAAAAUUAAAAAUGCAUGGAAGAAGAGUGGCAGGAUUUAGCAAGUAUGAAUAAGGAAUACCAAGUGGAAUUUGAAUUCAAGGUAAACAGUAAACUAAAUCACUGACCAUUUAUCAGCAUCCAAAUGGCAGGAAAGAGCACUCAUGUUCUGUGCUGUGAACAGGAGGAGUGUUAGGAAACUGGUCGGAGGAGAUGAGGAGUGAGUACUGAGAGCACAGCAACAAAAUCUGAGACACACACGUCACUCCCUGCUGGGCCGCAGUAAUUUUGCACUGAUUGGAGGGGCUUGGGGAAGGGAAGAAGCUUUCAGAUGGAGGGGUGCACACUGUGAUCAUUUCCUGAAACGCUCCCUGUUAGCACUUAUGAAGCACUUGUCUCUUCCGAAGACAACUGGACUCAUGCAGGCAGAGUUGCAAGAAAACAUAACAGGGGCCACACUGCAGGGAAGGCGGCGGAUUGUAGGUCCCAAGCCCAGGUUUCUCCCCUCCUUGCUCCAGUUAUGUGAGAAACUCAUCUCCUAACUCCUGUCCAAUGUCCCUGAUGGGUUCUCGGUUUGGCCCCAACUCUAAACCUGAAUGGUCCUUGAGCAUUUCUAUGAAAUACCUCCACAGUGGCCACUGGGAGGGGAGCAACCUCCACGCAGUGCCUGCCUGUGUGGGUGCCCCCAGGCCUUUUGUCCUCUGAGACAGAGCUGCCUUCUUACAUGCAGCCCUCUUCAGCCGUGCAGCUCACCUCGGUCUUAGCUGAGAUCAAUGGAGAGCAAUUCAAGCAAAACCAUGGUAAACUUACCAAAACAAAACAAAAACAACAUAAACACUUUGGAGACCUUUCUGAGGACUUGCUCUUUUAUCACAGGGCAACCUUAAAUGAUUUUCAAUCAAUAACUUCAUCUCAGAGGGAUGUUGAUAGAAAAUCUCCUACUCAGGCACUGAAGAAGGGCAGAAUUCUUG